GUGGCACCAGGAAAAGUGGGAAGUCAGGGAGAAAGGGCAAGGAAAGACAGAAAGAAAUCUGGACCCUGCAUUAACGGACUGAACCUAGAAACAUAUUUUCAAGUCUCUGUGCUUCCAUCUCCCUAGCUGUGAAGCAGAGAUGGCCACUUUGGACCAUGAGAAAUAUCAAUAUCAAACGCCCUUUCUUUUCAAGCCCUCAUCUUCCUCACCCAGUGUCAGCUCAUAUCAGGGGCCCCUGAGCUUCCUGGAAGGUCACCUUACCAGUCCUCUGCAGGACCGAGGCUGUGUGGACGGAGGCUGUGUGGACGGAGAUCCCACCAUCACCGAGUUCAGGCAAGUCCCAUGAGGGUCUCAGCUCCUCAUCCGUAACAUCAGGAUGAUAAAGUCUCCCUCGCAGGAUGGCCGUGCGAGUGCCCAGAUCCCAGGAGAAAGCUGGCAAAUGGGCAUUCCCUGCCCCAUCCCUUCCUACCUGCACGGAAAAGGAGAGAUGGCCCAGCCUCAGGUCAUCAGGACCCUUGAGCCAACCCUGCAUCUCAGCCCUGACUCCCACCCAGAAUGCCGGCCUUCCUCACCAAGGGUCUGACUGACACCUCUGCGAUGCUCAUCACUAGUCACUUGGGAUUCCCUGGUGAUAUGGUUUGGCUGUGUCCCCACCCAACUCUCAUCUUGAAUUGUAGUUCCCAUAAUCCCCAUGUGUCAUGGGAGGGACGGGGUGGAGAUAAUUCAAUCAUGGAGCGGUUUCCUCUGUCCUGUUCUCAUGAUAGUGAGCUAGUUCUCACGAGAUCUGAUUGUUUUAUAAAGGGCUUUCUUCGCUGGGCACUCAUUCUCUCUCCUGCCAUCAUGUGAAGAGGGUCUUUGCUUCCCCUUUACUUUCCAUCAUGAUUGUAAGUUUCCUGAGGUCUCCCCAG
rnacentral:lncRNA from 1 species